GUGCACGAGGACCCGAGGUGACACCUACCUGUCCUGGCUGAGGGCCAGCGCAGUUAACGUGGACACAGUGGUUCCAGUGCAGCCGAUAACAACAAUUUAUCAUGUGUUUCCCUGGUAACUACAACAUUGUGAACCUUCCUUGAAAACUCCAUUGGGAUUCCUGCAAUGUUUGUGAGCAUAAUGAAUGUGUUUCAGAGCAACCCCCUGAAGUCACUCAGUGCCACCACCACCACUUCUGCCUGGCCAUGGAGCCAGAGGUGACUUCCCCAGCAUGGACUGGAGCAAUGUAACUGCUGGAAGAGGAAAUCUCUCCAUUGUCACCUUACUUGCCAUCAAUUAUUUGGGUGUGUGCCAUUCCAGGCCUCUCCAGAGUAUAUUCUGCAUCUGAUUCAACUUCUACACAUACAGCAUCAAAAUAGACUUUAUUUUUCCUGGUAAAUCUUGCACAGAAUGAAUUCUAGUGUAUGAUUUUGCAUAUCUAGCUUAGAUAAGACAAUCAAGACCAUCACUCAAGUGCUUUGUGUGUCACAGAUGUCCAGCUUGAGA